rnacentral:rRNA from 1 species
AAUAGAUACCCGGGUAGGUCCACGCCGUAAACGAUGAGUGCUAAGUGUUAGGGGGUUUCCGCCCCUUAGUGGCUGCAGCUAACGCAUUAAGCACUCCGCCUGGGGAGUACGGUCGCAAGACUGAAACUCAAAGGAAUUGACGGGGGGCCCGCACAAGCGGUGGAGCAUGUGGUUUAAUUCGAAGCAACGCGAAGAACCUUACCAGGUCUUGACAUCCCAUUGACCACUAUGGAGACAUAGUUUUCCCUUCGGGGACAACGGUGACAGGUGGUGCAUGGUUGUCGUCAGCUCGUGUCGUGAGAUGUUGGGUUAAGUCCCGCAACGAGCGCAACCCUUGUUCUUAGUUGCCAUCAUUUAGUUGGGCACUCUAAGGAGACUGCCGGUGACAAACCGGAGGAAGGUGGGGAUGACGUCAAAUCAUCAUGCCCCUUAUGACCUGGGCUACACACGUGCUACAAUGGACGGUACAAACGGUUGCCAACCCGCGAGGGGGAGCUAAUCCGAUAAAACCGUUCUCAGUUCGGAUUGUAGGCUGCAACUCCGCCUACAUGAAGGACC